UUUUUUUUUUUUUUUUUCUCCUUGGAUACUUCUCAUAUCCAUAGGGCCUGAUGAGAGUCAAGACUCUGGUUUAGAAUGGUGAUACCAUGUUACAAGAAAGCCAGAGUUCAGAAGCUGGAGCACGUUUUAAGCAAGCUAGACACGUCUCUAUGUGAUGUUGGAAGUGUAAGCAUCUUUCAGAGUUCAGAUGUAGAUAUAGCCAGAUUGCGUGGUAAGUGAUUGCAACUUCAAGAAAGUGAUAGUAUAUGCUUCAAAACGUGAGGCCUGGAGCACAAAGAGCAGAUAUACCAUGGCUGAAUAUCAUUUUCAGUAUGUCUGACUGAAAACAAGUAUUAACUUGUUUGUAGAAUUACAAAAAAAGAUAAAUGUUUGCUGCGAUCGCUAGUGAUCGCUGAGAGUUUUUCACGUCCCAUGGAAGGGUAGCUGUCGACUCUUGCUGCUUUCGUCAGAUGUUAGUUUAAAUAACUCUAUUUUUAAAAAAUUAAUUUUGUAGUUGCAGAUGAUUCUUUUUCAUUUGAGACUGGAUUUGAGAAUACACAUAUUUCUUUUUAGGGAAUGGAGACUACGUUCCAGUUCACAGGCUAUCAUAGUUUAGUGAGAAACGCAUGUGCGCGCACACACAUACGUUCAUAUCAUCGGUAAAGCUGCUUCAAAUUUGUCAAGGAGAAAAGGUCCCAUGAAUUAUAACCUGUAAUUUGUAUGAAAUGGGUCCUCUAGCUGAAAUAAAGCAAUACAGUUAUUUUUGUUAAAACUUCUAGGAAAAUACCAAACAUAAUUUCUUCGUUUGUGUCUUACCUUUCUUUAAUGCUAAUGUUGUAACUGUUUUGUUGCCUUAAUCUGUAAGACUCUCAUUGAUCCCUAGUGAGGCUUUUUGUUAAACCAGUUGAUUUUUCUGUCCUUUCUGCCUUCUAAACUCAUGGCGUUGGCUUAUUUGCAGCCUCACUGUUUACUGGUUAUCUCCUUCUUCUGCUUUCUCUACUGUUAGUCCGUAAUCUGCAGAGACCUGCUUUUCCCUUUGCCAAGGCAGUCCAUGCACUGAAGCAGUAGGGAAGCUUUCCUACUGUUAAGACGGAGAGCAGAUAUUGCAAACAUAUAUAAUUUUUUUUUUCUGCAACGUAUGAACCAUACAUUCAAACAAACGAACUAUUUCAAUUCACCUUUUCCGAAAAAAAAAACCACAAACCCAAAAAAGUAAGCAGUUAAUGUUAGUUCUCUAUUCUUUUGGGGUGUAUAGGUCUCAAUCCUUUACUACCCUUUUUACCAGUGAUUCUGGCCUUUUUUUUAAUAUGAAAAGUGAUACGUUAUGUACUCCUCUCACACAGACAAGAAGUGAUACGGCUGUCAGAGUUAUUACUGGAUUGAGGGGAACCAACAGAUCCAACAGAAAGGAUUACAUCUUCAGAGGAUAGUGCACUAAAAGGGAGAAAGACAAAAGAAAUAACAAAAGCUUCCUUAAGAGAACAUGACGUGCCUCAAAAAUGACUCGUGGGAAAGCUCUUUCCCUGGAAAUGUACAGAGGCCUGAAGGAGCGGGGUUACCAUGAGCAGCUGCAGCAACAGCACCAACAAAAGCAGCAGGCGUUGGACCCGCGAUUUCCUGUGCUGUGCUGAGCCUGUGCAGCGCCUGGGGUCUCCUGGGUCGUAGACAUCUGCCGCUUGCGCAUCUCCAUCCGCUCUGAUCCCAUGGGCUGCAAGACAGCAAGAGAAGGGGGAAAUUUCCAGACCUCUCAGAAGGUGCUAUGAGAACGAACAAACUGUGCGAGAACCCUCUGUGCUGGAUGCUCUCUGCGCUUUGAGAAUUGGGGUCUGCCUUCUCUGUCUCCACCAUCUGGAGCAGAUACGUGCCUUCCUUGAAAAUGGGUUUGAGAAGAAAACACAGGAGAUUUAAAAACUGGAGAUGGACCGCUAUCUUGUACCUGUUUUCUAAGGAAUCCAAAUGUAUUUUUAGACGAGUGAUGGAAUGAGGUGAGAUACCUUUAACCAAAGGCUUUCAACCUCUACCAUCUCCAGCGUUGUUUAACCCCAGCCUGGGUACAGUUUUAGCCAGCUGCUGGAUGUAAAAUGAAAUGUACCUCUGUCCGAUUGGAUCAGUUUGACUGCCCAAAGUAAUGACAGCACUGCCAAAGACACCUACGUCUGCUUGGUGAGGGCUUGAGUAGCCAUAAUUUAAUAGAAAAAAUAUGACUUUCUGGUUCAUGUGGAUAGGGAAGGACUAAAAGGUGCUAUUCUGCCAGUUUCUGAGUAGUCAAUUGGAUCUGAUUUUGCUACUAUCAAGUCACUGUGGGGAAUCAAAUCCUUGAACAGGACAGUCAGUCAGUGUCCAGAUGGUAUUGAGAACUUACGUUGCAAAAGUCCUUGUAGUGGUGGUAUGUAUGGACCAGAUGAGACUCUGAAUUGUGCUUUGCUGUGCAGUUCUUACACCCAGCUGGCCCGUGCUCCUUGGGACCGCUCCAGCACAGGCAUGAUCCAUCCCUAGUGAUUAUCUUGAGCUACAUACAAAACAUCUCCUAGCUACCUGAAUUGUGUACAAAAGGCUGUCCUACGUGAUCAUUUCUGCAUCCGCGGGAAGUUUCUUCUGGCUACUUACAAGUCUCCUCUGACUGCCUGCAAUCUGUGUAGAGCUGCAUCAACUCUGCAGCCUUGGAGUCUCUGGAAGGACCAUAUUCUCCACUCCAGAUGUUAAUCAGCACAUUGAAACAUAAAGAAACCUGUCUAGGCACAGCGGGUCCUGCCUGGAGGAAUCCACAGAACUAUCCAAAUCCCGUGUGGAGCGCAGCGAUUAGUUAAAGACUUAAUUGAGAAAGGGGAGUAGGACUUGAUCAGCUUGUGUCUGGUUGGUUCACUGUUUCAAGCCAAUCUAACGUAGCAUCUAUGCAGAUGCCUAAGUGCAGAGUUUCUGGAUCUCCCAGGGAGCUGGGGGCCUCCUCCAUAUAAUGGUAACAACAAAUUUAGUCCAUUACAAAAAUGUCCCUAAAAAGCAAUGAACCAAAAAUAGAGGAAAAAUAAUGGCACACACAUGUUCUUGCUUCUUAUCCAGCUAGACAGCAUCUAUGAUUCAUAUAAAAAGUACAUGCUCGUGUUACUAAAUAAAUACUUAAAAAAAAAAAAAGAAGAAGGAAAAAAAGUCCAGGGAUUUAAGCCAGCAUCUGAAAAGCUACUUUUGAAAAUAGUGGAAAAACUACUGUAUGCCUUAAGAGUAAUGUUGAAGUACUGGAAUAAGUACAUCUGUCAUACCUGUUCCACUCCAAGGCAUGCCCGUCUGACAUUCAGAUUAUGAGGCAUUUCUCUGUGUAACCUUAUGAACGCAAAUGAGUGUGAAGGUCAGGAAUGAAAAUUAUUUCCCCGGUUAAAAGCACCUCGGAUCAUAUUUGGCUUAGUUGUAACAUUUAUAGUAUUUGCUAAUCUCUCAGUAGAAAGGUGGGCUACCAAGAAAAUAGCCUUCCCAAAGGAGGAAUAUUUAAAAUCUGAGCCACGAAUGUCACAUUUAAAAAACAAGACCCGCACCAAAUAAAAAAAAAAAACCAAAACAAAACAAAACCAAAAUACGAGAAUACAUAGAGAAGAAGAUUGUAGACUAAGCUUUUAUACUUUUAUCAUCAUCUUAUGCUAAAGCAUAAUGGCCAUUUUUUCAGCUCAAAGUGCAAAGAUACUAUUACUUGAACGUGAUGCGUGCUCCUCGUACACGUUACAGUUAGGCAAGUGUGCAAACCUGAACUCGUGCUGGGGUCCGAUGCGUGUGGCCAGAGCAUGGAGCUUUCCCAGUAACCAUCCAAUCGCCACGUGAAGCCCUGUGCUCUAAUGCUAGCUGACAGCCAGCCGGAGUGAGUGCACGGAUGUGGAUCAUCAUAGUCUAGAUAUUUUUUGGUAAAUGCUUUGGGCCUGAUCCAAACGCCAUUAAAACAAUGGAAACCGCCUCUUGGUUUCAGCGGGCUUUAAGUGAGGUUACGUAAAUCUCGCAAUUGCUGCUCGGAUCCCCCCAGUAAUGGUCACCAGUGAGCUGGAAGAAAGAGAUUCUGUCGUUGUCUACUAAUGUCAUAAGAGGCUUGCAACUGGGGUCAAGCUCCAAGUGAACCUCUGGACCUAUAUUUCAUUAAUUUAGAAAUAUUUGGAGCUGCAACAUACUCCCACUGAAGCCUGUGGCAGCUUAUUGUCAACUGAAACAUGAACGGGAAGCUUGAUGCUCGUGCUUCUCCCUCUUCAUUGACAAAUUUGACACGCAGGCUUUCUGCCAUCAAGCAACGUACAAUUUUGGAGAGCGAAGAAUUAAUAUAUGUUAAUGAACUCACCCACACAUCUGCACAUGCUUUAGGCAUAGUUAUCGGAUUGCCCACUUAGGGAGUGAAGAGCAAGAGCUCCUCGGAGUUUUUCUAUUAUUGGAGACCUGGCAUCUUGCAGUGGGGAUGACUGAAAUGGUUGAGGAUUUACAAAUGCAAGACAGAGGCUGGCAGCCAGGAGACUGGCAGCCACGCAGAAUAAAGCAGCUUCUUAUGUCACUGCUGCGCCCGAGUCCAUCGAAGGCUUAAGUGGAUAAAAUUGCAAGAGAAAGUAGUAUCCUUCCACGAGUUCAAAUAACAACUCUGGGAUGCUUUUGUGUAAAAUGUCCAGAAAUUGAGUGCCUUUACCUGUUUUAUUUAAUUUAUUUUUCCAGAGGAGCAGCAGCUCAGAGGAGCGGGGUUCAUCUAUUCAGGUGAACGCGUUGCUUUACAUUUCAAAGGCAAAGGCUGAAAAGGUAUCACACCCCCAGAGUAACAGGUAAUGGUGCCUUGAUCAUGUCACCUGUAACUGAGGUCCUUUUCUCCCAAGGGCUUAGAUGUUUUCUGCUCCUUUUUCUUUGCUAUUCAGUGCUGCACAUUUGGCCGCCAGAUCAGCCCGCUGUCUGCAAAAACACCUCCUGCACUGAAGUAUUUUUCUUAGUAAAAUCUGACUUUCCUGUUAAGAAACGUAGUUACUUGGGGUUUCAGUGGAAUUUCUUUGUAUUUUUUUUUUUUUUUAGAGGGAUGCCCUGUAUCUCCUCUGGUAGUAUUGUAAAGUAUUUCUUUACUUUGGAUUUUAUCACAAGAGACCUCACCGAAAAUGUUAUUCUAACGUGCAGUUAGCAGGGUCGCUCGCUGUCAUUAUUUCUCCUGCAAUAUGGGAAAGACACGAGAGAAUUUUUUACCAGUUGCACAGAAAAAGCAACAAAAGCAACCUGCCGCUCAGGUCCAGCCAUUUAUGCGGGUGCUGUGACAGUGGAGCAGUAAAAAUGCGAGUAUGGAUGUAACUUCAUCCCAUGCUGAGUCCCUUCACAAACUAGGUCACUGCAAACCGCAAUUAAGUUAAAUCAGCGUCAAGCCCUUCUCCUCUGCGCUGCACAGACUGGCGGCAUCCCCUGCCUCGUCUUCCGUGGCAGCUGGAGUCAGCCUCAGCGGAUGGAUGUCAGUUCACACUGGCUGAUCGGCUGUCUCAGAAGCAAAAUUAAACAAAAUAAACCCCAGGCUUCUCCAAUCACGGGAGUUCUACCACUGAUUCAGCCCUGCGCUGGCUGGCUUUACUGUCAGGGGAAGUAUUUGCUUCUAGUUAUUUUUACGCAGCUCGCUUUACAAAAAAAAAAAUAAAAAUAAUUCAUUCAGCCUAAUAUUUUACACACCUCUUUACUAUGCAAAGAGUGAAAGUGGUACACACAGCAGAUUGCUCUGCUCACUCCCAUCGUCUCCGACUGAGCGCUUGGUUGCAUCGUGCUUAAUUAUGAAUGGUCUCCAAAAAAGCCCAUUUUACUGUACUAUGAAGUGACUCAUAUCACACAGAGCUCUGACAACUCGCGCUGGGUAUCGGAGUCACAUGGCGCUGUAUUAGGCGGUGACUCAUUUCAUAUUGUACUCAGUGCCGAGAUCUGACUCACAUCGAACUGUGCGAGGAGCUGACUGACAUUGUACUGGUCCGAAAGCUGGUUUGAAUCGGGAUGACUCACCCUGGAGUGCAUUAAAUAGUGAUUCACGUACCGUUUCCUAUUGAUUCCGAUUGUCGCGAUUCACUUCACGUUGUACUACACCGGCACCAGGCUGCUCCGGCAGGGCCCGGGCUCUGGGGCAGCUGCCCUUUGUAGUGCCAAGCGGAGUACUACCAAAGUCGAUUUA